AAAGCUGAGAGCCUUGAGAGGCUAUGUCA
rnacentral:sRNA from 1 species